CCACCGGAUCCUGUCGGAUCCACCAAUGCCACUAAACCGGCAACU
rnacentral:sRNA from 1 species